rnacentral:rRNA from 1 species
GACGAACGCUGGCGGCGUGCUUAACACAUGCAAGUCGAGCGGUAAGGCCCUUUCGGGGGUACACGAGCGGCGAACGGGUGAGUAACACGUGGGUGACCUGCCCUCAGCUCUGGGAUAAGCCUGGGAAACUGGGUCUAAUACCGGAUAUGACUCCAUGACGCAUGUUGUGGGGUGGAAAGCCUUGUGCGGCUGAGGAUGGGGCCCGCGGCCUAUCAGCUUGUUGGUGGGGUGANGGCCUACCAAGGCGACGACGGGUAGCCGGCCUGAGAGGGCGACCGGCCACACUGGGACUGAGACACGGCCCAGACUCCUACGGGAGGCAGCAGUGGGGAAUCUUGCGCAAUGGGCGAAAGCCUGACGCAGCGACGCCGCGUGAGGGAUGACGGCCU